rnacentral:rRNA from 1 species
AGCGGCGGACGGGUGAGUAAUGCUUGGGAAUAUGCCUUAUGGUGGGGGACAACAGUUGGAAACGACUGCUAAUACCGCAUGAUGUCUACGGACCAAAGUGGGGGACCUUCGGGCCUCACGCCAUAAGAUUAGCCCAAGUGGGAUUAGCUAGUUGGUGAGGUAAUGGCUCACCAAGGCGACGAUCCCUAGCUGGUUUGAGAGGAUGAUCAGCCACACUGGGACUGAGACACGGCCCAGACUCCUACGGGAGGCAGCAGUGGGGAAUAUUGCACAAUGGGCGCAAGCCUGAUGCAGCCAUGCCGCGUGUGUGAAGAAGGCCUUCGGGUUGUAAAGCACUUUCAGUAAGGAGGAAAGGUUAAGUGUUAAUAGCACUUAGCUGUGACGUUACUUACAGAAGAAGCACCGGCUAACUCCGUGCCAGCAGCCGCGGUAAUACGGAGGGUGCGAGCGUUAAUCGGAAUUACUGGGCGUAAAGCGUACGCAGGCGGUUUGUUAAGCGAGAUGUGAAAGCCCCGGGCUCAACCUGGGAACUGCAUUUCGAACUGGCAAA